GAAAUAUUCUUAAGGACAGUGUACUUGACACGCCUCAAACUAAACCUUAUUUUCAGUAAUACAAUAUUUUUCCAACAGUUUGCCCAUCUACAAUUUGGGGAGGAAUAUAUCAAAGUGUCAUUCCAUGAGUGGCUGGCCGAUUUUGCAAAUUCACCCAUGCCUUUGGUCCAUCCCUGUUAUUUGCAGGGUACACUGUUGCAUUGAGCUGCUCCAUAGGUUUCUCAGUAACAAUAUUAGCUACAGUGGGUUCAAAUUUAUCUAUGCUCGGCUCCUUUGCAUUUUCCCCCUCCUUUGAUAAAUCACUGGAGCUAAUACUCUGCUAAGGGUUAGCCAGAACUCCUGUUCCAUUGAUUUUUUCACCAGAUAUAGCUGUGUCAAGCUUACCCAAUUGCCCUGUUAGUAAUGGAGUACUAAGGGUCAAUUUCCUGCUCACUCCAGUGAUAAUACUACCUCACUUGAGAUCAUCUCCGGCGUCAUCGUCCCUUGCGUUUGAGAUAGAAUUACCUUCCCAGCUUGUGCGCUAGUGCUUACGGAGCUUCCGAAAGCAAUAAUAGGUAUUUUGUUUGGCCUUCCUCAUCUGUGACCUCGUCCUUUCCACAUGGCAUCCACACCAGCAUACAUUAGCUAACGUGUGCUGAGAGCAUUAUUUGUUCUAUAUCAUUAUCACUAAGUUUUUUGGCAAGUCUGAUUCUCAUGAAUAAAACCAAUAUGGCUCCGAUUUUAGGGAUUUCUACAAGAUACUAGCCCUAUACAUUAAAGAAAAGAGAAUAUCUUCAAGAUUCUGGCACAUCACCACCGAUUCACUCUCGAUUAGGGUUUGUGCACGAUUUGAGCUAAUCCAACUUUGAUUCGGUUUGCAUUCGACUGAUUUUUUUCCUUGUGUGUUUGAUUAGUACUUAAACUAUAUAAACCCCCUCUCCUCUUCCGCUCUAGUCAUACUUAAGUCACUCAUUUCUCCUGCUUUCAUUGAUACUUACUUUUCGGUUAAGUAUUUGGAUAUUUGAAGUUUGUAUUCUCUAGAUUUCAUCUACAACAGGUUGAAAGCCAAGGCUAUUGAAACUCUGGUUAGCUAAUCCUCCCCUAGCACAAGUAGUGCUCGGGGUUCUCUGAAACCCUCAUGAACACUGAAGUGCUAGGAAUCGAGGAUUUUGGGAUUCAAGAACUUCUUGAAGUUAUUCACUGGUCAAGGCUCUCACUCUAUUGGGUUACUUUGGGAUUAUUACUCUAAUUUCUGGUUUUAUUAUCUUUGAUAUUUCUCUUGCGUAACUGUAUCGCUUGCCUAAAGAGGUCUCGAGUCAAAUUGCACUCUGGCUUGAUUGAUUGUGCCGUCUGCUGCUACUGUGGGAUCUCAGGGUUGAGUGCUGGGUCUUGAUCGCGUUGGGAAACAUCCUGAAGGCCCAAUACUUACCUGGGACUGUGAUUAUAAUUUUCUUCGCUGUGUAUUUGUUCAUUUUAGUUUACUUCAUUCUUGGGUCUGUAAUAAUGAUGUAACUAACUAUGGGGAUGUUAGUACAAUUUGGGGACAGGGAACAUUAUAUAUUUCAUCACUUAUUAGACAACGUGCUUAUAGGAUCAUACGAUGGGUAGAAAUCAUGUCUAUAGAAUGUUGUCCUUUUAUACUUUUCUCUCGCAUUCGCUCUUUGUUAUGCCUAGAAACCAUGCCUAUAGGAUUUAAUAUGCAACAAUAUGCUUUACCUGUUUGUUACUAUUUAGAAAGCAUGCCUACAGGGUGACAACUUAGUAAUUCGAUCUUAAUAUAUAUAUUUGUAUACCUGGUGA